GCUCCUGCCAACUAUGCUCUGAACGAUGCUUUAUCUUCUGUACCCAUGGCUGACGAGUGAUACCACUACUUCCUGUAUGUGGGGUGCUGAUUUCAAUAUACAUUGAAGUCAGAGGAGGAAUGGCACCGAGAAACCAGCUCACUACCCACCCUCAGAGCUAAAAAGCAGACAAUGACAGCAUUUGCUCCUGGCCAUGGCCCCUCGGGAUUGACCAGAGAAAGAGAAGGCAGAGAGAGAAAGGAAGAGCAGCUUAGCAUUGCCAAGAAUCUAACAGGGCAGCCUCUCUUCAGCCCUGGAAUCCCGCUGUCAGCUGACAGCAUGCUAGCUGUUCUGCUGAUUCCA